CAUAAAGAAUUGGAAAAAAAGGAAGACCAAAUUUCCCAUGGAGGUAGAAGCAGUGGAAACCCAGAGGAAGAGUCGUCUUAAGAAGCACGCUUAUGAGGUCUGAUUCAGUGUUCAGAUGACACUGUAAACAGUUGGUGUCCCAAUGCCAUCUGGCACGUAAGAGCGAACGUAGAUCCGUUACCAUAUAGUGGAAUGCCAGCAGAACAAAGAAGUUUAAUUUCUUCAUAACUUGCUGACGCAAGUGAAGACAUGGCUGACGUUUUGGAAAGUUCUUCAUUCUGGGACAGUAAUUAAUUCAGGACAUUAACAGCCAAAGUCCAAGUCUAUGGACAUGAAGUGUAAGCAUGCCUGCAUGAAGAAAGGCUGCUUACUGUAAGGACACCAUCUAGAAAUAGCCCCAGGACUAUCAUUCCUCACUUCUGACCUGAAAAAAAGGCUGGCUGUACUGAGAACAGCAUGGAUGGACCCAGAGCUCUGUACCCUUAAAAGAUGAUUACUUUCUCCGUGUAGCAUUCCAGUCUCUGAUGAAAAGGAAAGAUGUGCUCCUGGAAGAGAUCCUGAUGAAUCAAAGCUGAAUCGUUUUAGGAGUCCAGGUUCAGACCUUCCCUGAGCCAAGAUAUAUUCCCCGUCAACCUUAAAGAAGCAAAUAGCCAUCAGUUUUACAGCUGCAAAGAAACAGAUUUUACCAACAACCAUUAAACUUGGGAAAGGACCUUGGACCUCAGAUGAGACUGUAGUCCUAACGCCUACAAUCUUAUGAGAUCCUGAGCAGAAGAUGCAGGGGCUAGAACUACCACAGCAAGGGCCACACUGGAAAGCACAUGGCUUCAGCCUGGAUUCAUGAAUAAUCAACUGGAGGAGACCAUGCUGUAAACUGAUAACCCCCCAGAUCAUCAUGUAAGCGAGAAAUAGACUUUUAUUUAUUAAUAAACUUUUAAUAGACCUUUU